UGCACCAUUCUUUUUAUACAAGAAACUUCUCCAUCUCGCUCCAGUCCUAUGUUUUCAUAUUUAAUCCGAGGAGUAGACAUGGCGUGAUAUUGCUUUUGGCUCAGCACUUUCUGUUGAAUUUGCAUGAACAGUUGGGCGAUGAGCCGAAUCAAUAUCACUCUUGUAUGCUUCUUUGCAUCAAUCAGCAAGCCUCAGGUUAUGUAAACAGUUUCACUCUCUCUGAUAUUUUCGAUAUUUUCAAUGGUUUCAGACUACAGAAAACUGUGUAGAUCCAUAAUUUCUUGAAAAGGGAUGAAUAGCGAUUGUAAGUAGAAUCAGUAGUUCGGUUCCUGACUCCGGCUCGGUAAACAUUCCUUUAUCAAAUUACUGACGCAUUUCAAGCAUCACGAACCAUCAUGAAGAAGUUAUUUUCAGAUUCAACAAAUUUUUAAUAUUCCCAUGUUAAAGACGCUUUUCUUUUCUGAAUUCUUUGGUUACAAAGUUGUAGCUGAUGGAGGCGGCUUUGAUCCGUUCAUAGCAUAAACUGGUUACAAGAUGAGACUUGAGAUGGAGACGCAAAGCCAGAAGAAAAGAACAAGAAAUAUAACAGUUAUGGAGAAUUAAGGAAGUGCUUCCAACCUUACAAAAAGUUUAAGCUUUUAGACGAUGUUGCUCCGAGAAGAGGACUCGAGUUCAAGAAAUCGUAUUUGUCGGGCCUUUGUGAAACUGCAACUGACGUUAUUUUGGAGUCGUAAUUAAUUUAGUAUCUGACCCUCUUUAAAAUUGCUGGUUCAACAUGAUACCAAAGCUGAAAUAAACCAUUCUUGCUCCAUAGUUUCUGUCAUUUUGUGCGGAAGACUUUUAGAAUCAUAAAUCAAAAAUAUCCCACAGAUAUUGAGUGAAAAUGAAAGCAUUACCAAAGAAAUUGUCUUGGAGAAGGAACAUAUUGGCCCGGUGGCAUUCUAUAUAUACGAUACGGAUGGCCAAAACCGAGUAAAACUAAAAAUACACUUCCCUACCAUCUUGAAUACGUUGUACUAACUCCGUUUCAAAUUUACAGUACCGUAUGACGUAAAUUCAGAGCUUCUUUUUCUACUUUUUAUUCAUAUAUUAUUCAAAAAAUCAUUGUUACAAAGUCCAUUCUCCGUUGGGCUAUGAUGAAGGAAAGAAAUGCUGAGGCUGAGCCAUCGAAUGUUCCUUAAUCCCAGUGGUUUGGACUACAAAACCAAUUUUGGAGGUCCUUGACGACCCCUUUUUGUAGCCAUAAUCUGCCAUCUCAAUGGCAUAUAGUCUCAGAUGAAUUCAAUUUGAUAGUGUUCAAAAAAAUUACAAAAAAGUUUGUCGGCCAUGGAGCAAUGAAGAAGUAGGCUCGAAUUUUUUUUGUCUGUGAUUAUGUAAGAUGGAACAUAUUUGCAUCUUAUGUGCAGGCCUUUGCUCUUAGGAUUAUCAGUGUUCUUUGUAAUUUUGAAUGCUACUUCAUUUCCCUAAUCUAUGGAUUGCUUGCCUCAAGUAUCCAUAGUACCCUAGUUUUGUUUUCGA